rnacentral:rRNA from 1 species
UACAGAGGUCCCAAGCGUUGUUCGGAUUCAUUGGGCGUAAAGGGUGCGUAGGCGGCGCGGUAAGUCGGGUGUGAAAUCUCGGAGCUUAACUCCGAAACUGCAUUUGAUACUGCCGUGCUUGAGGACUGGAGAGGAGACUGGAAUUUACGGUGUAGCGGUGAAAUGCGUAGAUAUCGUAAGGAAGACCAGUGGCGAAGGCGGGUCUCUGGACAGUUCCUGACGCUGAGGCACGAAGGUCAGGGGAGCAAACGGG